rnacentral:lncRNA from 1 species
GGGAUCUGAUGCCCUCUUCUGGUGUCUCUGAACACCGACCGUGACAGUGUACUCAUAUACAUAAAAUAAAUAAUUCUAAAAGAAAAAAAAGUCUGGGGAAAAAAAAGAAUUAAAAAACAUAUGAAGGGAACCGUUCUCAUUUGAACCACUUCAGCCAUAUACACAAUACUGAAUGAAACAGAAUCUUAAAAAGUAAUAUCUAACAACAUCAAAGUUUCCCUCUCCCGUUUUCUCUCAAUGGCAUUUUCCUUUGCUGACUGUCACAUAUGUUGGCUGUGUGUAUGGGUAUAUCACAAGUAGCAAUUUAGGUGGGUAUUGUCAAGGGUAGUUAUAGCUGUAGGCACACAUUUAUGCAGAUAUAUACCUAAAAACACAUUCCUAAAUAGAUGUAGUUGUGAAAGAUGUAUUUUGGCUACAGACUGAGAUAUAGCCACAUAGCUAUAUGUAUGGGCUAUGGAUAGUGUAUGCAUGUUUUUCUUUUGGGGUGAGUUUAUAUCCAGGCUGGUCUUGAUCUCAUUACACAGUCAAGAUUGGCCUUGGACAUUUUGAUUCUCCUGUCUCAGCCUACAGAGUGCUGGGAUUUCUGCUGUGUGUACCCUGACAGGAAAAGUUGUUUUUGUUUACUUAUUUGUUUUAAAUUAUUGGACAUUUUAAAUAUUUAGUUAUUUCAUGUAUGGGAAAAUGUUUUUUUGUUGUUGUUGUUGCUGCUGGUUUUUAUUUUUAUUUUUUUGAGUUGGGGUCUCUCUAUGUAGCUCUAGCUAUGGGAACUGGCUAUGUACCCCUGCUUGCCUUUGUUUCCUGAGUGCUGGGAUUAAAGGCACACCCACCAUGCCAGGCAAUGUACAUGUAUGAAUGUCAAGGAACAACUUUCUGUCGUCUGUUCUCUCCACCGUGGUUUCUGGGGACAGAACUCAGGCUGUCCGGCUUGGCAGCAAGCUCCUUUAUCCCCGAGCCACCUUGUCCCCACUUUUUAGUAUUUUUUAAAAUGUAAGUUUUUAAAACAUAUCUCAGUGCAGUGACAUUAGUAGGGAACAGAUAAAGCAGAAGAUGAGCUAAAGGAAGAACAUAGAGGAAGACUUUUAACAUUUAUUUGCUGUGUAUGUAUGUAUGUAUGUAUGUACGCAUGCAUGUAUGUAACACACGCCACGGCACUUGUGUGGUACUCAGAGAACAGCUUGCAGGAGUUGGUCCUCUCUUUCCACUGUGUGGGGUUGGGGAAUUGAACUCAGGUUGUGGUGUUCGACAGCAAGCACACUUCCCUCCUGAGCCAUCCUGCUGACCCUAUUUGUUUGUUUGAGGCUGUCUCAUGCAGCCAAGGCUGGCCUUGAACUAUGUAGCUGUGGAUAGUUUUGAACACCUGAUCUUCUGCCUCCACCUCCCAACUGUUGGACUCACAAGCAUUCCCCACUGAGUAUUUUUAAACAGAUAUCACUUUGAGGUUGAACAUGCUGGUGCUUAGCGGUAAUCUUGGGAGGUGGAGUGCAUGGAGGUCAGAGGUCACUGUCUGUCUCUUUCUCUGCCCCUCGCUGUGUGCAGGCGUGCACAGAGGCUAAAGAUCAACAUUCGGGUGUCUUCCUCAAUCACUCUCCACACUGAUUUUGACUCAGAGUCUCUCAGAAAACCUGGAGCUCACUGCUUGCCCAGACUGUUUGGUCAGGGAGCUCAAGGUUCUACCAGUUUCUAGCCACGCCCCAGGGCUGGGCUUACAGGUGCACCUGGCUUUUUGUGGGCCCUGGGGAUUCGAACUCAAGUCCACACGCUUAUGCGGCAAGCACUUUGAUCCACUGAACCACCGGCCCAGCUCCUACACUUAGCGCUUUAUGUAUCUGUGGAAGCAUUUCUGCAGCUCUGACUCCUGGAAGCAGAAUCUCUGAGUUAAAUGGGAAGCAGGCGUCACACUUAGAGUGGGAGUCUGCCAUGCCCUCCACAGAGGCUGAACCAGUUUAUACUCCCAGAGCCCUUUCAUUUGAAUAUUAAGGAUGCCUGUGCCCUGGUUUUGUCCUCUAAGCUGGCAGAAGCGGGACAGAUCUGUUACAUGUAAAUAGGUUACAAGGCAGCAAGCAGCUCUGAACUGGCUCCCACCGGGCAGCAUGUUGCUGCUUGUUUUCCAGCCUAGGUACUUGGAAGAGAAAACAAACUUUCUCUCUUCUCUUCUUCUUCUCUUCUCUUCUCUUCUCUUCUCUUCUCUUCUCUUCUCUUCUCUUCUCUUCUCUUCUCUUCUCUUCUCUUCUCUUUUCUCUUCUCUUCUUGUUAAUUAAUACUCUGAUGAGCCUUAGCAACUGGGGACCCCCUGAGUGGACCCCGUGGAGCCAGCACGCUGGGGUCUUCCUGCUCACAAAGGAGAGGCAAUGACCCCGGGCAGUCCAACUGGUCAGUUUUUAUACAGUUUUUAUACAGUUUUCAGGGGUAGAAUAGAGCAGCAGCCAAUGUGAUUGGCAGAACAGUGUGACUUUUUUUUUUUUUUUUUUUUAGCUGUCUUCAGAUCUCAUUAUGGAUGGUUGUGAGCUACCAUGUAGUAGCUGGGAUUUGAACUUAGGACCUUCGGAAAAGCAGUCAGUGCUCUUAGUAGCUGAGCCAUCUCUCCUGCCCCCAGUGUGACGUUUAAACUGAUUGGUCCUUAGGUAAUGAGGUAGCAAGGGCUUCCCUGAUCUGCUGUUGGCCAACAGCCGGUCCCCCCUGUGGUCUUCCUGAGGAAUGAAAUCAGCCUCUCCCUGCUGGAGGGAAGGGGUGCCUGUGUACCCCA